ACGCUGGCGGCGUGCCUAAUACAUGCAAGUAGAACGCUGAAGCUGGUGCUUGCACGAGCGGAUGAGUUGCGAACGGGUGAGUAACGCGUAGGUAACCUGCCUCUUAGCGGGGGAUAACUAUUGGAAACGAUAGCUAAUACCGCAUAAAAGUCGAUAUCGCAUGAUAUUGAUUUGAAAGGUGCAAUUGCAUCACUAAGAGAUGGACCUGCGUUGUAUUAGCUAGUUGGUGAGGUAACGGCUCACCAAGGCGACGAUACAUAGCCGACCUGAGAGGGUGAUCGGCCACACUGGGACUGAGACACGGCCCAGGCUCCUACGGGAGGCAGCAGUAGGGAAUCUUCGGCAAUGGGGGCAACCCUGACCGAGCAACGCCGCGUGAGUGAAGAAGGUUUUCGGAUCGUAAAGCUCUGUUGUAAGAGAAGAACGAGUGUGAGAGUGGAAAGUUCACACUGUGACGGUAACUUACCAGAAAGGGACGGCUAACUACGUGCCAGCAGCCGCGGUAAUACGUAGGUCCCGAGCGUUAUCCGGAUUUAUUGGGCGUAAAGCGAGCGCAGGCGGUUAGAUAAGUCUGAAGUUAAAGGCUGUGGCUUAACCAUAGUACGCUUUGGAAACUGUUUAACUUGAGUGCAAGAGGGGAGAGUGGAAUUCCAUGUGUAGCGGUGAAAUGCGUAGAUAUAUGGAGGAACACCGGUGGCGAAAGCGGCUCUCUGGCUUGUAACUGACGCUGAGGCUCGAAAGCGUGGGGAGCAAACAGGAUUAGAUACCCUGGUAGUCCACGCCGUAAACGAUGAGUGCUAGGUGUUAGACCCUUUCCGGGGUUUAGUGCCGCAGCUAACGCAUUAAGCACUCCGCCUGGGGAGUACGACCGCAAGGUUGAAACUCAAAGGAAUUGACGGGGGGCCCCGCACAAGCGGU
rnacentral:rRNA from 1 species